AGAAUCCUGAGAUGUACGUGAAAACAAUACGUUUUGAGCCAACAUUUUUUUGAAAGGGAGCCACAGUUGGACAUUGGAUUACAUGCCUUUAUAAGUGAGUUCGUCUCCUUUAAAAAGGAAGUAUGAGAAUGCUCACAUCGCACCCACCUGUCAAGACAGGUUCAAAACUAAAGGAAUAAAACGGCAUUAUUGGGAUUCUU
rnacentral:other from 1 species